UGGCGGGACGGGUGAGUAAUGUCUGGGAAACUGCCCGAUGGAGGGGGAUAACUACUGGAAACGGUAGCUAAUACCGCAUAACGUCGCAAGACCAAAGAGGGGACCUUAGGGCCUCGCGCCAUCAGAUGAACCCAUAUGGGAUUAGCUAGUAGGUAAGGUAACGGCUUACCUAGGCGACGAUCCCUAGCUGGUCUGAGAGGAUGAUCAGCCACACUGGGACUGAGACACGGCCCAG
rnacentral:rRNA from 1 species